GGGGGCCAGGAGGGAGAACUGUGGGCGGGCAUGGGGAGCCCGAGGCCGUUCUUCUGGACUGGAGGGGAAGCGCACUCCAAGUCAGAGGGAGGAUGUGCCGAGCCCCCGACGCUCAUGGCCCGGAUUUGCUGGGUGGCUGCAGGCUACAGUGUGGCAAAAAGAACACCCCUUGACACCCUGUGGACCACACAUCCCUACCUGCAUUAUCCGUGCCACCACUGGCAAGACCUGCCACUCAUGCCAUCAGUGCAGAAACUACCUGCAGCCCUGGGUUCUGCCUCCCCAUGGGACUGAAGUAUAAGGCGGGGGGGGGCGGGGGGAGGGUCUUCCAAAAGUUCAGUGUUACUAAAGAACUAUGUAUGUAUGGUGCAAAAUGUUCUGCACCAGGGGUACAACAGGUUAAGCUACUACUUGGUACAUUGGCACUCAGUAACAGCCAGCCAGUUAAAGUCCUGGCUACUUUGCACUUCUGAUCCAGCUUCCUACCAAUGUGCCUGGGAGGCAGCAAAUGAUAGCUGAAGUACCUUGAGUUCCUGGCACUCAUGUGGGAGACUUGGAUGGAAUUCCUGCCUCCUGGUUCCUGAAUUGGGCCUGGUUCAGCCCUGGCUACUGGGGGCAUUUGGGGAGUGAGCCAGCAGAUGGAAGAUCACUCUUUCAAAUAAAUCUUUUAAGUUUUGUACCAUAAUAAACUUAUUUUUUAACUCCAUUUUCUACAAACUUUUUUGAAGUUCACUGGUAAGUGAUGACCUGAGCAAGUGCAAUCAAUAGUAUUAAAAGUGGUUUACAGGCAGGUGCUCCCCACUACCUUCACCAUUUCUCCCCAUCACUCACACUUGUUAAUUACUUGCAUGUUCUUUGAUUAUCAAAUUUGGCCACCUCCUCCACCCAGCCAUGCACACACACUUCCAUUUCCCCUUUUGGCACUGGUGGUAUCUAAACAGCCUUGCUGCUUUGGGGUGGGGGUAUUUUCCCUCCAAAAAAGGAAUGUGUAUCCUGUCUCAUUUCCAGGAUUUUGUAUGAUCUGAAGUGCCUGAGGGGACAGGACUGACAGGGUGUGCAGAAUGGGAGCUGCCUGGCGCACCAGGGUGCCAGUGUGGCCAGAACUACAGCAGCUGCCCUGCCUCUGUGGGUUCUCUAAUCACUGCCGUGUGACUGAACCAGGGGAGAGACUAGGGAGAAGCCUUAUUAGCCCAUUGCCUAGCAUAAGCUACAUCCUCAAAAACCAAUGAUGUCGUGAGUGGAUUUGUGCGGAUGAGGUAAAACCUUCCGAGAUGCAGAUAAAGUGUAAUAGACCAGGGUGGGCACCGGAGCAGUUUGGGCGCCACUUGGGAUGCCUGCAUUGGAGUGCGUGAUUCAAGUCCUGGCACUACUUCCAAUCCAGCGUCCUACCCUCCAGAGGCAGCAGAAGAUAGCUCUAGUACUUGAGCCCCUGCCACCCAUAUGGGAGACCCAGAUGGAACUACUCACGCCUAGCUUUGUCCUGGACUGGUCCAGCCCCAGCUGUUUCGGCUGUUUGGGUAAUGAAAUUUGGGGAGAUUUCUCUCUUUUCCUUUCAAAUAAAAUGAAAAUAAAUACAUUUUUGAAUUCACUAAUACCUGUUAACUUCUGGGAAAGCUAAGUGGAAAUAUGGGUGGAAUGCACUGAUUUCUGUCUCUGUCCUUUCCCAAAGUGUCUGCCCUCACCCACCUGAAUGCUGGAGUCUUUUGUGCCAUCUUGUUUUCUGCCAUUCUUGCUUUGUUUCAGCCAUUGAAAUCUUCCAGGUUAGUUGCUAAGAUGUUUUCUUAGCAAGAGGCAUUAGGUGGAAACGGGUGUGGAGAAAGGAGAAACUGUAGGCAGGCAGGACCAUCCCAAGAGUACAGUUUUGUGUGUGUGUGUGUUUUUUGUUUUUUUUUUUUUUAAUGUUUAUUUAUUUAAAAGACAGACUUACAGAGAGAGACAGCAAGAUCUUCUAUCCGCUGGUUCAUUCCUCAAAGGCAGCAAUGGCCAGGGCUGGGCCAGGCUGAAGUCAGGAGCCUGGAAUCCAUCCAGGUCUCCCAUGUGGAUGGCAGGGGCCCAAGCACUUGGGCCAUAUCUUCUGCUUAGCAAGAAAUUCGAUGGAAGUAUAGCAGCUGGGACUUGAACCAGUAUUCAUAUGGGAUGCCAGCAUUGCAGACAAAGGCUUAACCCACUGUACCAUAUCGCUGGCCUCCCAGCAGUCUAAUUUUUUGAGGAAGAGGGACAAAACAGAGCUCAGCUGUCCACAACCAGAAGUCAGAUGAUGAUUUAGGGAGAUGGAGAGGACUGUGGCUGGCUGGUCUGUAAGAAAUGAUCCAAGCUCACAGAGCAAAACGCAAAGUCAUCAAGGCAAAGUAAGGGUAGCAUGUUACUCUUCUGCCUGCCCAAGUUUUCUCAUCCCACAGUCCCAUGGAUUGUACCACACCUUACGCUUUUUUGCUGUUAGGAUCCCUAAGUUCCUUCAGUGCUUCCCUCUGAACUCCUGUCUUCUAUCUCUUUCUCUUUCCUUGGGACCCUCUUCUGCUGAUCUCUAUGAAUUCUUACAGUGGCUGUGCCUGGGCAAAUUGUCCCCAGUCACUGGCUUUUUGGGAAAGGCUAUGAGAAGAUCCAGGAGCCUCUGCAGGACUGCUGUUCACCUUCCUUGUAGGUUUCACCCUUGCAUCCUUACAGGAGCGGCCUGAGAGGACGUUCCAGUCCAAGCAGGGCAGACAGACAGUGGACAGGCCCUGCUGCUCGGUCAAGAAGCAGGGACUCUUUUCCUCCCUAAGAACCUCCAACUCCUCUCCCAGAUGCAGAGAACACAAAGGAAGGUCGAUGAUCUAAAAAUCUAAGGACCAGAAAAUGACCUCUGCAUUUACAAAGCUAUAUGUCCUCCUCCCACCUCAGAGGUCUUCACAGUUGCUCCUUUCCUCAGCCCCAAGGAAAGGUGGGCAGGGAGGCUGCCUGACUCUUCUCUCGUCUUCACAAGGCUAACUACGCCUCCUAGUCCCAUGAGUCCAAUGCAAGGGCUAGCCCAACGACUGGACAGGGGAGUGAACAGGCUCCAUUCCUCACUGCCUUCUGUACCGGGGUCUAUCAGUGGUUCCUCCAUCAGCUCUAAACCACCCAGCUGCACAUGCUGCUCAGGGGCCUAUACUCCCCAGCUGCCUUCAUUUGUGGGAAUCAGCAGGAUACCCUGACCCUAUACUGCCAUUAAGAAGAGACUGAGCCAAGAGGACUCCACAAUCUAGGACCUAAGGAGCCAUGAUUUUUGUCUCUCAUCUACAAUCUUGGGGACAAUCCUUGGAAGCCUCAGGCCAAAGCCUUAAGCUUCUUAAGAACUCCAUACAAAGCAAUGCAACUAGGACCACACUGCCAAAGAAGAACCUUUUGCCAAGAUCCAGUCUAACUCAUAUUAAAAAUUUACAAUACCACAGGGCUGGCAUUAUGGCUUAGCAAGUUAAGCUGCCACCGCCUGCAGUGUCAGCAUGUCAUAUGGCCCCAACUGCUCCACUUCUGAUCCAGCUCUCUGCUAAAGCCUGGGAAAGCAGAGAAGACAGCCCAAGUGCUAGGCCCCUACACUCACAUGGGAGACUUGGAAGAAGCUCUUGGCACCUGGCUCUGGCUUGACCAACUAUGGCAAUUACCGCCAUUUGGGGAAAUGAACCAGCAGAUGGAAGACCUCUCUCUGUCUCUCCCUCUCUUUGUAACUGUGUCUUUCAAAUAAAUAAAAUAAGUCUUUAAAAAAAUUUACAAUACCUAAGGCUAAUGUAUAGAACAUACUUCCUGCCCACUUAUAAAAUUAAUUCUUUGGGGCUGGCACUGUGGUGUAGUGGGUAAAGCCACCGCCUGCAGUGCUGGCAUCCUAUAUGGGUACGGUUCGAGCCCCGGCUGCUCCACUUCCAAUCCAGCUCUCUGCUAUGACUGGGAAAGCAGUGGAGGAUGGCCCAAGUCCUUUAGCCCCUGUACCUACAUGGGAGACCCAGAAGAAGCUCCUGGCUCCUAGCUUCAGAUCAGUGCAGCUCUGGCCAUUGCAACCAACUGAGGAGUGAACCACCAGAUGGAAGGCCCCCUUCUCUCUCUCUCUCUCCUUCUGCCUCUCUGUAACUCUGCCUUUCAAAUAAAAUAAAUAUUAAAAAAAAAAAAAGUGGAAACUUGGGAAAAAGAGGCCAAUACUGCUAGAGCAGAGUGUACAAGAAGUUGAGGAGCUGGAAAUGAGACCCAAGUGGUAAGGGAAUAGGGCGGCAGAUCAUGGAGGGUCUUGGAGUCCUUUAAAACAACUCUGGUUUUUUCCUAUUAUACAGAAAAAAUGGGAGAGGUCAGAGUAGAAGAAUGACAUGAUAUAGCUCCCAUGUUAACACCAGUCCCUGUGGCUGCUGUGUUGAGAACUGACUGUAAGCAGGCAAUGGCAGAUGCUGACCAGCUACUGCAAUAAUCCUGAAGACAAGUAAUUCUGACUGGGCCUAGGAGGGGAGUCAAAGUGAGGAGAAACAGGAUUCUGGGUAUAUUUGAAGAAAACGUUCAGGAUAUUUGAUGAACUGGAGAUGAAAGAAAAGUGUUGAAAUCAACACUGAAAUGCUCUGACAUGAACUAGAAAGAGGUUAUUAACUAAGAAAGACUGCAGGAGUAAGCUAGAAAAAAGUUCUUUUUGAUGUCAAAUUUGAGGUAACUACUGAGCGUCCAAGUGGAGACACCAAGGGGCAGCUGGAUAUUCAGGACAGAAACAAACUGAAGCUGUUAAAAACAAACCAAACAACAACAACAACAAAAAAAAAAAACACCACACACAAAAACCUAGGAGUCACCCAUAUCAACAUGAUUUUCACACUGUAAGAUUACGGAAUCACUGUGGUGUCUAUGUAAAUAGAGUAGUGUGAGGACUAGAUUGUGACAAUGAGAAACUAGCAAAGGAGACUCAGAACAGUGCAAAAGCUAAGAGGCAGAGGAGAGAAUAUGUUCUAAACCAAGGAAGAAAAAUGCUUCAAAGAGGAACCAUCAAAUCCUGCUGAAAGCCUCUUUAAGGUAAGGCAGAGUACACCGCUGGACUUGGCGACGUGCAAGUCAUUACUGAUGUAGUAAGAACAGUUUUGGUGGAGUAAAUUUAAUAAAGAAUUGAAGACAACUCCUUUUAAGUUUUGCUGUGAAGUAGAGCAGAAAAGCGUGCAGUUGGAAACAGAAAUAGAGUCAUAAGGGCAUUAUUUGUAAAUAAAAUAGUAGCACAGUUGUGGCUGAUGAGAUUUACAAGAGAAAGCAAAACAGUGACUCUACAGAAAAGGAAAAAUUGUUGAGUCAUACCCUUAAAGGUAAGUGGGUAAGAUCUACUGCACUAGAAUGUGGGCAGGAGCGUGAAGCAUCAGCAAGGUUUCUCAAUCUUAACACACUUAGACAUUUUAGCCCAUAAAUUCUUCAUUGUGGGGUUUUCAUGGAUAUUCUAUAACAACCCUGGCUUCUGUCUAGUAGCACCCUCACCCUUUUUGUGAAAACCAACAUCCUCUGAGGAACAAAAUCAUAGUAUAUGGGCACAGGUGCAGUAAUGAGAACUCGAAAUGUGUUGCUUUUAUUUUCCUACUGAAACAAAGAACAAAGUGUCUUAGCUUUUUGUUAUCAUAAUUAAAAUAUCUGAGAGGCUACCUAUAAAAGUUCAUUUUAGCUAAUGGUUUUGUAGGCUCACACUCCAAGAUCAGGUACCCCACCAAUCCAGGAUCUAAGGGUGACAGGUGGCAGGAUUCAGAGGGAUCACCUGGUGAGCUAAGAGUACCGUGAGGAAGCAUGUUUGUCCAUGUGGUCUCUCCUUUAUAAAGCCCUCAGGAUGCCAUCAUGGGACUUCACCCUGGCAACCAACUCUAAUCUAAUGACAUCACAAAGAUUCUGCCUUCAGACAUCAUAAACAGAUUAAGCUUCCACCCCUGGAGCACAAAUAGCCCAAGAUUUGAGGUUUAAACAUUCGAGUGAGUUAAAGAACAAACUCAUGUUCAAACUACAGCACAAGAAUAUGUGUGAGCAGAUGCUGGAGACUUGAAGAGUCUGAGGAUAUGAAACAGUUAUCAGAGAAGGAAAGUGGAAGGAGUAGGAAGAUGGAAUAUUGCUGAGCAGCAUCAAGGACCCAUUUUGGUUUCACGAUGAUGAACUGCAGACCAGUCUACAAGGCUGCUUUCUGCUAGCCCUUUCAGUUUCAUAGGUAUAGAUACAGGGUAAUGAGUACCACAAAAACAAAGGAGGCGAACAGAGAGAAAGUAUAUGCAACAAAGUGCUUAUUAUUGGUAUUCAGCUCAGAAAGGAAGUAAAGGGGCCGGUGCUGUGGCGUAGCAGGUAAGGCCACUGCCUGCAGUGCCAGCAUCCCACAUGGAUGCCGGUUCGAGUCCCGGCUGCUCCAUUUCCGGAAAGCAGUAGAAGAUGGCCCAAGUCCUUGGGCACCUGCACCCAUGUGGGAAACCCGGAAGAAGCUCCUGGCUCUUGGCUUCAGAUCAGCACAACUCCAGCUAUUGUUGCCAUUUGGGAAAUAACCAUCCGAUGGAAGACCUCUCCCUCUCUCUGCCUCUCCUUCUCUCUCUGUGAAACUCAAGUAAAUAAAUUUUUAAAAAAAUAAAAUGUAAGACCAUUAUGAACCUAUAAAUGACUGUAAGAAGAUAGUGUUCAAGUCCUGGCUGUUCCACUUCCAAUCCAGCUCCCUGCUAUGGCCUGGGAAAGCAGCAGAAGACGGCCCAAGUCCUUGGGCUCCUGAACCCACGUGGGAGACCUGGAAGAAGCUCCUUGCUCCUGGCUUCAGAUCAACUCAGCUCUGGCCACUGCAGCCAUUUGUGGACUGAACCAGUAGAUGGAGGGCCUCUCUCUUUGCCUCUCUGUUAACUCUGUCUUUCAAAUAAAUAAAUAAAUCUUUUAAAAAAUAAAUUAAAAAACAAAGUGAAGUCAGUGGGAAGGAAGACCAAAGGUAGUUAGGUUCUGGUGAAGGAAUAAAUUACUGGACUCAGCAUACUACAGGGAAUGAAAUGGAAAAGGCGGGAGGUAAUGGUGGGAGAGAGGGAGGUUUGAGACUGAGAUAUGGAGGAGUUAGAGGUCUAGAAUAUGGCCACAGAGAUGAGUGGCUGAAGCAGAUGACAGAAGGAUGACCUACAUGGAUACUGAAAUCAUUAAGACUUCUAAGAAUGAUGUUGGUGUGGUACAGGAGCAGGGAUAAGGGAGAAUGGCUGGAAAUAGUGUGAGGGAAAAUGGCAAUGUCUGCACUUCUGGGCCCCACAGUACAAUGGGUCUGGAAGAGAAAAACCAUCAAAUCAGGAGUGACAGAAGCAGAGGUCUCACAAGAAACCAGGUCUCAGAGGAAGAAUGUGAAACAAGGGGCCAGCGCUGUGGUGCAGCGGGUCAACGCCCUGGCCUGAAGCGCUGGCAUCCCAUAUGGGUGCUGGUUCUAGUCCUGGCUGCUCAACUUCCCAUCCAGCUUUCUGCUAUGGCCUGAGAAAGCAGUAGAAGGUGGCCCAAGCCCUUGGGCCCCUGCACCUGUGUGAGAGACUCGGAAGCUCCUCGCUCAUGGCUUCGGAUCGGCACCAUUGAGGCCAACUGGGGAGUGAACCAUCGGAUGGAAGACCUCUCUUUCUGUCUCUCCUCUCUCUGUGUAACUCUUUCAAAUAAAUAAGUAAGUCUUUAAAAAAAAAAAAGAAUGUGAAACAAACAUUCAGGGAAGAGGUUAAAGAUGCAGGGCACUUCGCAAGUGACUGGCUAUUAGCUCCACAGGAACACAGUAGAAAAGAUUUAGGCAUUGGAAGGAUUCAGAUGGAGACAAAAAAGGGGGUACAAACACAAAUGGUUCUUAAGCAUGUAAAAGAUGAGGUAACAGGGCCAGCGCCAUGGCGCAGCAAGUAAGGCUGCCGCCUGCAGUGCUGGCAUCGCAGAUGGGCACUGGUUUGAGUCCUGGCUGCUCCACUUCCGAUCCAGCUCUCUGCUAUGGCCUUAGAAAGCAGCAGAAGGUGGCCCAAGUCCUCCAAGUCCUUGGACCCCUGUGUCUGCGUGGGAGACCUGGAAGAAGCUCCAGGCUCCUGGCUCCAGCUGUUGCAGCCACCGGGGAGUGAACCAGUGGAUAGAAGACCUUUAUCUCUCUCUCUCUCUCUCUCUCUGCCUCUGCUUCUCUGUAACUCUGCCUUUCAAAUAAAUAAAUAAAUCUUUUUUUUAAAAGAGAUGAGGUGACUCGGCAGUUCAAGACCUGUUGUGAUGAUAAUCAUGCAAACAUAAUGGGAUGAUUACUCUGGUGGCUGCGGCAGGAGGGAAGCCUGCCGAUGGAGGCACAUGUGACGUGCGUGGGAGGAAGUGCAUGGACAAGGGCGGUUUUACUCAAGCUGUAAUCAGACCUAUCUCCAGGCUAUCCUGAAGAAAGUCCUGAGUGUCUACAUCACAUAAUUCAAAUGAGAUAAUGACUAUAAAGCAGACAGGACUGGGUCUGAUACUAAAACAACAUUGCUAGAGAGCCGUUAGGACAGCACCCAUGACUUCUCCCCGUUUUUGGCUCCUGGGCAGAGGCCUCCAGAGGCUACCUGCACAGUCAGUCACAGUGCUGUUCUGACCCCGGCUCCUUAUCUGUUCACUCCAUCAACAAGACUGUACCCUGUUCUGAGGAACACAAUCUAAUUAUCAACAUAUAAAAUCAAAAAUUCUUUAUUUUUGAGCCAUCCUAAGGUUCCACAGGGGCUCCCAACCGUGCUUGCAGGCCCCAGCUUUGCCAGGGGGACUGGAUUCCAUAGCCUUGCCAUGACUCCCAAGUCAGGAAGGAGAGUCAGGCCCAGGUUCCUGUGGGCUCCCCUUAGGAAACUAUCUACUCUGAUCCUGUUCAUCUUGCUAGUCCCUCCAGGUCACUUCUACUUCAUCUGUCCGAUACCUGUGGAAAAAGAGGAAAAAUCUGAUGGAGGUCUACCCCUUACCACCUUCCAUUUUUCUCUGUCUCCCCAUCAGGAAUGGACUCUCUCCUGUGCUGACUCUGGCCUACCUCCCAAACAAGCCUGUCUAUUCCCCACAAAGAGGGAAUCACUCACCUCUGUGUAAUCCCAGAAUCACGGAGUGGGGUUCUGUGUCCGGCCUGGAACAUCUCCCAGCCAGCCUGGGCUAUCAUGGCUCCAUUAUCAAUGCAGAAUCU